rnacentral:lncRNA from 1 species
CUCUGCCAAGGCGCCUAUGAGAGCCUCUUGGCUUUUACCUGGUCUGCGAGAAAUCAAACUUUGGGCACAAGUCAUGAAGCCGACAAGCCCGGGAGACACAGUGUCAGAAUUACAAGGUGAGAUCAGCCGCCCGGCCAAGCUAUCUUCUCGCUAGCAGGUCUCGCAUCUGGGGCUCGAUCUCGUGCAGAGGAGCAUUUCCGAAGACACUGGCCGCUCCCACAAUGGCUCCGAAGAACCCAGCGACCAGCGGGUUCAUGAGUUUGUUGGGGCUGUCCACUCGGUACCAGCUGCGCAGGGAUGUCAGGACAAAGAAACAAGUUGCCUGGUUCCAGCCCUGCUUCAGCACGGGGCCUGUGGGGCCCCGGUAAGUCCCGGUGUUCCCGCACAAUCUCCUAACCCUGUGGAAGAAUCCCCUGUACUUGGAUUUGGAGAGGUCUGGCCAUGGAUUAACUUCACCUUGAUGGUCUCCAUGGGACAUAGGACCACCACGGCCUCGGCCACGCUAGCUCACUGGCCGCACCGCUGCCCGCCUUGCUGUUCACCAGUCCCUGGGCAUCCCGCAUCUGGUUGCUGAGGAACGCCUGACGCCGCCUUGUGGAUGAAGCCGCAGAGCAGGGAGCUGAGGCUGCGGCCCAGGCCCAGGCUGCCUUGGCUGCGACUGUGUGCCUGCAGGCCCCAUGCCCGGUAUCCGGUGGAUGCGAGUGCUAGUCCAGCUGCAGCUGCAUCUUCACGAACUCGGUGGGGAACGGGAUGCAGAUUUUUUUUUUCUUUUCCUUCCUUCCUUCCUUCCUUCCAACUUCCUUCCUUCCUUCCCCUUUCUUUCUUUCUUUUUUUUUUUUUUUUUUUUUUGACAGAAUUUUGCUCUUGUCCCCCAGGCUGGAGUGCAGUGGCGCGAUCUUGGCUCACUACAACCUGGAUUCAAGCGAUUCUCCUGCCUCAGCCUCCCGAGUAGCUGGGAUUACAGGCAUGUGCCACCAUUCCCGGCUAAUUUUUUUGUCUUUUUAGUAGAGACGGUGUUUCCCCAUGUUGGUCAGGCUGGUCUCAAACGCCUGACUCAGAUGAUCCGCCCGCCUCGGCCACCCAAAGUGCUGAGAUUACAGGCUUGAACCACCGCGCCUGGCCCUGUGAUGUAGAUUUUGAUGCUGCCAGCCAGGCUGCCUGCCGGGAUCGCCUGCCCUGGAGCAGGAGCAUCAGCCGUGCGUUCCAGGACGCAGGCAUGGCAUGACCGGCAGGAGGCGGAGUGCCCGGCGUCUCUUGGGAUCGGAGCCUCCUGAAUUCCACGCUGGGACCUUAAUUUGGUUUUAACACAAAUAAAGAUCUCACAUAAAGAUAAAA